CAAAUAUGUAUUGAUAGUCAUCCUGACCCCUGUGUAACAGAGAGUUUAUGGAGCACCUACUAUUAGGAGGCAUUAUUAAUAUUAUUAGGAGGUAAUGAGGAGUAGGAGAUCACCUACUAUUAGGAGCCACCGUGGUCACUCAGAUUGUAAAGAGUCUGCGCAUAAUUCAGGAGACCCAGAUUCCAUCCCUGGGUGGGCAAGAUCCCCUGGAGAAGGGACUGGCAAACCACUCCAGUAUUUUUGCCUGGAGAAUCCUGUGGACAGAAGAACCUGGUGGGCUUCAGUCCGUGGGGUCGCAUGGAGUCGCACAUGACUGAGCAACUAACGCGUGUAUAUGUACUAUUAGGCGCUACACAAUACUAGGAACUAUCCUUUCUGCGUGCUUUGUGUGUUGUUUGGUCGCUAAGUUAUGUCCACCUCUUUUGCGACCCCAUGGACUAGGAGCCUGGCAGUGUAGAGUCCUUGGGGGUCGCAGAGUCUGACACAACUGAGCAACUGAACACACACAGGCUUAACAGAGAGAACCCUUGGGAUCCACAGGAAGGAAGAGGGGAGGGAGGAAAAAGAAGAGGUGGGGACAGUUGAGCUGCGGCAGUCUCAACAGAGGACUUAGCUCUACAGGGAGUUUAGAAGCUCGGAUGACCCUUCAGAGCUCUCUUGAUUUGGGACAAGGGGGCCAGGUCUUUAUGCUCCAUAUCAGUCUUUGGAUGUGGACUGCCCAUGAAAGGAGAUGUGACCUUGGUGUCAAAUUGCUUUCCAAAGGGCUUACAGCCAAGAGCUGUUUCCUGUCAGCAUUUCCUGCAGCUAGGAAAAUAAAUCCUUCAUUCCUGAAGGGGGACCUGCGUGUUUACCAUGCUGAGUUAAUUAGUAGGACUCUUGUCAGAUUAAGUAGGUGACUCCCCAGGGAGAAGGCCAGUCUUGCUGCUACACUUCCCAGUAAUUUUUCCAAGCCAGCCAUUUCACAGUGGUGUGGGCAGAGCCACGCGACCUUCCCAGUGCCCCUCCAGUCUUAACAGCAGCACAGUCGUUCA
ensembl:lncRNA